rnacentral:rRNA from 1 species
UACGGAAGGGGCUAGCGUUGUUCGGAAUUACUGGGCGUAAAGCGCACGUAGGCGGCUUGGUAAGUUAGAGGUGAAAGCCUGGAGCUCAACUCCAGAAUUGCCUUUAAGACUGCCGAGCUAGCAGGUGAGAGAGGUGAGUGGAAUUCCGAGUGUAGAGGUGCAAUUCGUAGAUAUUCGGAAGAACACCAGUGGCGAAGGCGGCUCACUGGCUCAUACUGGACGCUGAGGUGCGAAAGCGUGGGGAGCAAACAGG